rnacentral:snRNA from 1 species
GGCUGUGAGGACUAGAGAUCUGGCUGCUGACAUCUGUCACCCCAUUGAUCGCCAGGGUUGAUUUGGCUGGUCUGGCUGGCUAGGUGGUGUCCCCUUUCUCCCUCACCACUCCAUGUGCGUCCCUCCCGAAGCUGCGCGCUCGGUUGAAGAGGACGGCCUUCUGCAAGUAGAGACAGACCGGUGUUGGGUCCAGGGUAUACGGGUAGCUGCGCUCCCCUGCUAGAACCUCCAAACAAGCUGUUCUGAAGUAGGCCUUUAAAGCACUGUUUCAGAGAGCCAGAGCAAUAGUACAAGGGGGUACAGAGCUUU